GACGAACGCUGGCGGCGUGCUUAACACAUGCAAGUCGAACGGAAAGGCCCCUUUGGGGGUCCUCGAGUGGCGAACGGGUGAGUAACACGUGAGUAACCUGCCCUUGACUUCGGGAUAACUUCAGGAAACUGGGGCUAAUACCGGAUAGGAAUCCUUGCUGCAUGGUGGGGGUUGGAAAGCUUCGGCGGUUUUGGAUGGUCUCGCGGCUUAUCAGCUUGUUGGUGGGGUAGUGGCUUACCAAGGCUUUGACGGGUAGCCGGCCUGAGAGGGCGACCGGCCACAUUGGGACUGAGAUACGGCCCAGACUCCUACGGGAGGCAGCAGUGGGGAAUAUUGCACAAUGGGCGGAAGCCUGAUGCAGCAACGCCGCGGGCGGGAUGACGGCCUUCGGGUUGUAAACCGCUUUCAGCAGGGGCGAAGCUUGUGGUGACGGUACCUGCAGAAGAAGCACCGGCUAACUACGUG
rnacentral:rRNA from 1 species